ACCAAGAAAUUAAGUCAUAUCUUAAUGGUAAAAAGACAGUUAAAUAUUUAAAAACUUUAGUUAUUUAAUUAUUUAUAAAAAGGUAAAAUUUGAAUAUAAAUACUUAAAUCAAAAAUAACUUGUAAGUUGAAGCUGUGAAAGCCUUGGGGGAAACUGGGAUUAGAUACCCCAUUAUUCUUGGUCUUAAAUUGAAUAUAUCUACCAGAGUACUAUGAAUAAAACAAAAUUUAAAACUCAAAGAGCUUGGCGGUGUUUUAGACCACUUAGGGGAACCUGUCUCAUAAUCGAUAAUCCACGAUAUACCUGACCUUUUUUUGUAAAACAACUUGUAUACCGUUGUCGUCAGGUAACUUUUUAGAAAUCAGAAGUUAGCUAUAAGCUUUAAGCUUAGACGUCAAAUCAAGGUGCAGUCUAUAAAAAGGAGAAGAUGGGUUACAAUUAUAAAUUUAUAAUAACGGAAAACUAUUAAAAUUAAUAGAUGGAAGGAGGAYUUGAAAGUAAAUUGAACUAUAAAAAUAUUUUGAAUGAGGCUCUGAAACGUGC
rnacentral:rRNA from 1 species